AGCUGAUCGGAGCGGUAAAGCCGGGUGUGUGUCUGUCUCUGGGUGCGUGUGUGUUGGGGAGAGAGAGGGAGGGAGGCAGAGGGAGGGAGAGAGAGAGAGGGAGGACCGGGGCAGGAGUUGUGUAAAAGGGGCUGAAGUCCUGCGCUGCCUUCUCCUCCGCCGCUGCGAUAAAAAGGCUCCAGACGCCGUCAGAGCUCGGCACCACCGUGGACGUAAAAAUCGAAUCCACGGAGGACGACACACCCCGGUUGGAAGCUCCAGGACUCGGAGAGCGGUGGGCGAGGCAGCCUGAAGUCCGCCGGACCGUGCAGCUGCGUCGGAGGCUUGAGGCAGGAGCGACCCGGCCGGUGGUCAAGAAACGUGCACCCAAAGCAGAAGAAGGAAGGAGAAGGAGUCGCCUUUCGUGUCUCAGAGCGGCCCGUGCAUCACUCCGGUCUGCUCCGAACUCUCGCGCUCGCUGGCCGACUCCCACGGCUCCCACGGCUCCCUCACCCCCCUCACCCCUCGGCCCCAAAUGGCUGACACACAGCAGUUCUUCACUGGCAAGCUUUAUGUUCCUGUACACAUGCUAAAGCUGCCAGCUGAAGAACUGCUCUGGUCAGCCCUGCCCCGGAUGACUCAAGAAAAGGAAGCAGAUGGGGGGUGGUGGGAACCGGACUGAGAAAGACGGCGUUUCACACUCACAGCAGUCAGACUGGACUUGCCAGAUUUGAGCCUGUGGUUUACUUCACUAUUUUAUGAUCACACGUGUUUUUUUCCUUCCCAUUUGUUUAAACUGUGUCUAUGAUGUUGUUGUUGUUUUAGCUUCCAAUAAAGAACAAAAUGUUCCCUCAGAUUUGAGCCUUAUUGUUGUCAACUGCACACUACAGACACUUUAACACACACCAGCAGUGAAAUCCAAAAAUAUACUCACAGAGGCGCACAAAAAUGUGUCACACCUAAUCGCUUUUAACUUUAAGGUAUCUGGCGAUUACAUUAAAGGAGAACAAGGAAACUCAGAGUGACCUAAAAUACAAGUGAUGUGGUUUCAGAUAUGCAGUAAGUUCAUAGUCUUUGUUCUCUGGAAUCUGAGUCUCAC
ensembl:lncRNA